ensembl:lncRNA
GAACGGCUUCUUUUUGCCGCCGGCCCUAAGCUGUCGGCUAUAGGUGCGUCCUGCUGGCGGGGAUGAAACGUUUGCCGCCGAUUACGUCACUCCAAUUUCUUGCGAGAUUUCUUGACUGCUUCAUUUUCUCUGGCGGUUGCCUGGGUCUAAAGCACCGCGGUCGUCCGGCAGCAAGACGUUUUUAAAUACAAGGCUACUCUCAAAAUCGACCGGCCAUGUUGGUUUGGACACACAUUCGCAUCAGUUCGUUGCUCAAUCGCGAGUUACAGCCUGCAGUUUGCUAGCUAGCAAAGUCAUCGACUACCAUCGUUUAAGAAAAUUCUGUGUUCACUUGAAUCACAACACUCGAUACCUUGGCCAGAGCAUAACCGGUUAUCUUCACCCAAGAGACCUACUGUUGGUCAAUCGUUUUGGUUUUAAAGAAGUUGCAUCGAUUCCAGAAAACCAGAAAAAUGAUGAGCCAUCUGUAGACUUCAGAGCUGAACCAGUUUUCUCCCUAGAGUUUGAGUACAACUCGUCAAGUACUAAGCUUUACACCACCAGCAGCAAAUUUACCCUGGCAGCAUAUGGGUGAAAACUCUGGAGGAGAAAGUCAUCGCUUUGUUAUUGGCCCUUGGACGCCCCUGGCAUCUCGUGUACAGCACAAAGUUUUCAGCUAUGAAGAUUUCCAGUGACUCCAGAAUGAAAACCAAGCUCUGAGGGAGGAGAACCAAGCCCUGAGGGAAUGCAAUGCACAAGCAGGUGAGAAUGUGCACUCUCUUAAAUUUUAGUUCAGAAUUACCAUAUGCCUUUGAUUUUGUAGCUUCGGGUUGACAGCGGCUCACUUCAAGAACAGGUGAAGCAAGUAGGGACAAUGUUGAAGACGUUUGCUCUCACUGGGCAAUCAGGUGCGUUACCUGAAAGGAGCAUCUGAUCGUGAAGGCAGAAAAAGCCGCACAGCUGAGAAGGACCCACGGCCGACCCCUUAAACAUAGGCUGACUACUGACACCCCACCAUCACUGAACUGGAACACUUUCUUUAUCCUGCAUUCAGUAACAUCAAGAAGCUAGAAGUGCCAGACUACACUCACCAAAUCCACCCUGUUUUUUUUUUUGUAUUUUAACUUUAGUAUUGG